AUGUAUUGUGUUUUAGCUAUUCAAAUCCUGUUUUCCAUCAGUGUAAGCUCAACUGCUCAGGCUCAGCAUGUGGGUGUUACCCUACUUUUAUCACUGUUUGUGUACAGUUCAGUUUACCUGCUCUUCUUUGUCAGGCAACUGAACCCUGACAGGGCUGGGUGUACCUACAGGCUACAGUAUCACCUGCUAUACUGCCCAGCAUGUGAUACACUUAGUGCUUUUUUUUUUUUUUUUUUUCAAUGGCAGCUGCACUCACAGGAGCAGAGCUGGCAAGGACUGCUAGAUUCAGCCACCCAGACAUUUUCUUGGCAUCUAUAACUCUUCUGAGAUUUCAGAGGAUCUUCAGAGAAUUGCUGGUAAUUGACCUGUUUGGAUUGCACAUGACUGGCAUUUGCUAAAAGAUAAUACAACCCUGCAUUUUGUUAAGUGCUGGUUGCGAUAUUAACUUGUGGCCAAAUCAGAAUAAAGGCUCUAGAGACAUUUAGA
rnacentral:lncRNA from 1 species